ensembl:lncRNA
AUCGUAUUUACACACAUACAGAUGUGUGCCUGGAGUGGCCUUCCUUGUACUAGUAGUUCAAGAACUCAAUUUCUGGGAAUUCUCUGGUGGUCCAGUGGUUAAGACUCUGGACUCUCACUGCCAAAGGCCCAGUGGAGAGAAGUGAAUUGGGUCUUGGAGCCACAGAUCAAAGUUCAUAUCCAGGCUUAGAAGCUCCACCAGAGAGAAGAUUGUGCUGCUCUUACUUGCUUCUUUGUCUCCACUGUCUUCUAGAGUGCCGGACUCAUAAUAGACACUUGAUGAAGGUUGAAUGGAUAAAUGCAUUAAAG